rnacentral:tRNA from 1 species
GGGCCGUUGGUCAAGGGGUUAAGACACCGCCUUUUCACGGCGGUAACACGGGUUCGAAUCCCGUACGGACUA